GGACCACGAAUCUGACGUAGAAAAAUUCACUUUUAUUAUAUUUUUAUGGUCUACAGUUUUAAGAAACUAUUCUUUGAAAAUCUCAUUCGAAAAUUUUGACGUUUGGGCACUCAAUUUAGUCAAAAGGACUAAAUUGUAAAAAGUACAAAGUUGAGUUCCACUUGUUAAAGGUGUCUAAUUGCUAUGAGAUUUUAAAUUAUAG
rnacentral:lncRNA from 1 species